rnacentral:rRNA from 1 species
AUUCCAGACUCCUACGGGAGGCAGCAGUGGGGAAUAUUGCACAAUGGGGGGAACCCUGAUGCAGCGACGCCGCGUGGGUGAAGGAGUACCUCGGUACGUAAAGCCCUAUCAGCAGGAAAGAAAAUGACGGUACCUGACUAAGAAGCCCCGGCUAACUACGUGCCAGCAGCCGCGGUAAUACGUAGGGGGCAAGCGUUAUCCGGAUUUACUGGGUGUAAAGGGAGCGUAGACGGCAGUGCAAGUCCGGAGUGAAAGCCCGGGGCGCAACCCUGGGACUGCUCUGGAAACUGUAAAGCUGGAGUGCGGGAGGGGCAGGCGGAAUUCCUGGUGUAGCGGUGAAAUGCGUAGAUAUCAGGAGGAACACCGGUGGCGAAGGCGGCCUGCUGGACUGCGACUGACGUUGAGGCCCGAAAGCGUGGGGAGCAAACAGGAUUAGAGACCCUGGUAUCG